UCUGAAAAUGGUCUUCGAGAGCCCAAAGGACCUCAACAAAUCUUUCCAGAGUCUCUAAGUUUCUUUUCUACUACUUGAGUUGCCUCUGGUUAACCCUGGAAAGUUUUUUUGAAGGCUCAAAACCUGAACAUAGAAGUUCGUCUGAAUUUCUUUACGAACCACCAAAGAUAAUCCACCAUAGCACCAUGAAGAAACGUUCCUCCACCGGCCAUCUAAACUGGUCCUCCCAAGUGGCUCGGCAUAGAUACAUUCAAAAUCCUCGGGCGCCAUAACCUAGCUAGAGGAUUUUCCCACAACCGGGUGGCCCACCACCUAUCGUGGACAAUGUGAAAUGUGGUAAAACUAAUUUCGCUUUCACUUCGCAAGGGCGUACCGGGCGACGCGAACCUGCCGGUGAACAUGAACAACAUUUACCCCCAGAACAGGGAUCUACAAGUAAGUCAGUCGGUCAUUGAGACUACUCCCGCGCAAGUUACGUGAGUAAUUUCAGGAUAAGGUGAGAAAUUUCCUGCACCGCCUGUCGGAUAAUUCCAAGGUAAGUGUGGCCGCUUCAUUAGUAUAACGUUGACACGUGGGGUUUUUUCGCGGAUAAUCUCGCGGAUAAUUUAAUUGGUGGCGCCUCGCGAGUCAAAUCCAAAAUGUCCCACUAAGUGCCGAUCUUCUACUUGUGUAGGACCUGAUACGUCUUCGCCUCGGCAGCUUAUCACCGGAACAACAAGUGAGAGCUCUAACACGCUACCACUUUUGAAAACUAAUCCUCCCCGUUGUAGGGAAACGUACUCCUCCGCCUUUCGGAGGAUGCCGUAAGUAAAAUCCUUGACUCGAACCUCCCCCCAGUCUUUUCUUCGGACAGGAUCCGUACCAGGACAACAUGGAUUUGGACCUGUGGACCAUCGACAAGGUAAUCCCGGGUGAUCGAGGUAAUUACUAACGCUUCCUCUUAGGCGAUCGCGACGGAUAAUAGGAACCGGAACGCCGGCGUCGGAGAGGUUAGUAUCAUUGCGUGCACUGCGCUUGUAACACUUUUCACUUUGCAAGACUGCUCCACCACCAGAGUAUCCAGUGGACGUAGAUCAAAUUUAUCCCCAUGACCCGUACCUGCAGGUAAGUUAGGGGUUUGCUCGUACUUGGCUCAAUCCGUCUUCCAGGCCAUAAAGGACUUCUUAAAUAGGCUGUCAAAGCCCACCAAGGUAGGUCUCAACCACUAUCGGCCCCCCGUUACCCUUCGUUUUUAGGAUCUGAUUCGCGCUCGCCUAGGCAACUUACCAGUAGAACAACAGGGCAGCAUUCUCAAUCGGCUAGCACAUUCAGUUGUAGGUAAACGCACUUAGGUACCAAAAUCCCUUAGGCAAUCUUUUAGGAUCCGUACAGGCAGAACAUUGACUUGGACUUGUGGACCAUUGACAAGGCCAUCGCGACGGAACCGACCGAACCGCUGCCGGUCAACGUUGAAGAGCUCUACCCACAAGACCGUCACCUUCAGG